rnacentral:rRNA from 1 species
CCAACAGGGAUUGCCUCAGUAACGGCGAGUGAAGCGGCAACAGCUCAAAUUUGAAAUCUGGCUCUUUCAGGGUCCGAGUUGUAAUUUGUAGAGGAUGCUUCGGGCGUGGCGCGGGUCUAAGUUCCUUGGAACAGGACGUCAUAGAGGGUGAGAAUCCCGUAUGCGACCCACCGCCUCCGUCCAUGUGAAGCUCCUUCGACGAGUCGAGUUGUUUGGGAAUGCAGCUCAAAAUGGGUGGUAAAUUUCAUCUAAAGCUAAAUAUUGGCCAGAGACCGAUAGCGCACAAGUAGAGUGAUCGAAAGAUGAAAAGCACUUUGGAAAGAGAGUUAAAAAGUACGUGAAAUUGUUGAAAGGGAAGCGCUUGCAACCAGACUUGCUCGCGGUUGCUCAGCCGGUGUUCUCACCGGUGCACUCUUCCGCGAUCAGGCCAGCAUCGGUUUGGGCGGCUGGAUAAAGGCUUCGGGAAUGUAGCUCCUCUCGGGGAGUGUUAUAGCCCGAGGUGCAAUGCAGCCUGCCCGGACCGAGGACCGCGCUUCGGCUAGGAUGCUGGCGUAAUGGUUGUAAGCGACCCGUCUUGAAACACGGACCAAGGAGUCUAACAUCUAUGCGAGUGUUUGGGUGUCAAACCCAUGCGCGUAAUGAAAGUGAACGGAGGUGGGAACCCUUAAGGGUGCACCAUCGACCGAUCCUGAUGUCUUCGGAUGGAUUUGAGUAAGAGCAUAGCUGUUGGGACCCGAAAGAUGGUGAACUAUGCCUGAAUAGGGUGAAGCCAGAGGAAACUCUGGUGGAGGCUCGCAGCGGUUCUGACGUGCAAAUCGAUCGUC